UGCCGAGUCGAGCGGUACAGAGAUAGCUUGCUAUCUGCUGACGAGCGGCGGACGGGUGCAGUAAUGCUUGGGAAUAUGCCUUAUGGUGGGGGACAACAGUUGGAAACGACUGCUAAUACCGCAUAACGUCUACGGACCAAAGGGGGGGAUCUUCGGACCUCUCGCCAUUUGAUUAGCCCAAGUGAGAUUAGCUAGUUGGUGAGGUAAUGGCUCACCAAGGCGACGAUCUCUAGCUGGUUUGAGAGGAUGAUCAGCCACACUGGGACUGAGACACGGCCCAGACUCCUACGGGAGGCAGCAGUGGGGAAUAUUGCACAAUGGGCGAAAGCCUGAUGCAGCCAUGCCGCGUGUGUGAAGAAGGCCUUCGGGUUGUAAAGCACUUUCAGUUGUGAGGAAAGGGGUGUCGUUAAUAGCGCCAUCCUGUGACGUUAACAACAGAAGAAGCACCGGCUAACUUCGUGCCAGCAGCCGCGGUAAUACGAGGGGUGCAAGCGUUAAUCGGAAUUACUGGGCGUAAAGCGUUCGUAGGCGGUCUAUUAAGCAAGAUGUGAAAGCCCAGGGCUCAACCUUGGAACUGCAUUUUGAACUGGUAGACUAGAGUACUGUAGAGGGUGGUGGAAUCUCCAGUGUAGCGGUGAAAUGCGUAGAGAUUGGAAGGAACAUCAGUGGCGAAGCGGCCACCUGGACAGAUACUGACGCUGAGGAACGAAAGCGUGGGGAG
rnacentral:rRNA from 1 species